rnacentral:rRNA from 1 species
UUGGUUAAGUUAGAAAGGGCGCACGGUGGAUGCCUUGGCACUAGGAGCCGAAGAAGGACGGGACUAACACCGAUAUGCUUUGGGGAGCUGUACGUAAGCGUUGAUCCAGAGAUUUCCGAAUGGGGGAACCCACUAUCUUUAGUCGGAUAGUAUCCUUACGUGAAUACAUAGCGUAAGGAAGGCAGACCCAGGGAACUGAAACAUCUAAGUACCUGGAGGAAGAGAAAGAAAAAUCGAUUUCCUGAGUAGCGGCGAGCGAAACGGAAAGAGCCCAAACCAAGAAGCUUGCUUCUUGGGGUUGUAGGACACUCUAUACGGAGUUACAAAAGAAAGUUAUAAAUGAAGCGGUCUGGAAAGGCCCGCCAAAGACGGUAACAGCCCGGUAGUUGAAAUGGCUUUCCCUCCAGAGUGGAUCCUGAGUACGGCGGAACACGUGAAAUUCCGUCGGAAUCCGGGAGGACCAUCUCCCAAGGCUAAAUACUCCCUAGUGACCGAUAGUGAACCAGUACCGUGAGGGAAAGGUGAAAAGCACCCCGGAAGGGGAGUGAAACAGUUCCUGAAACCGUGUGCCUACAAGUAGUUAGAGCCCGUUAAUGGGUGAUAGCGUGCCUUUUGUAGAAUGAACCGGCGAGUUACGAUUUGUUGCAAGGUUAAGCGGAAAAAGCGGAGCCGUAGCGAAAGCGAGUCUGAAUAGGGCGCAUAAGUAACAGGUCGUAGACCCGAAACCAGGUGAUCUACCCAUGUCCAGGAUGAAGGUAAGGUAAUACUUACUGGAGGUCCGAACCCACGCACGUUGAAAAGUGCGGGGAUGAGGUGUGGGUAGCGGAGAAAUUCCAAUCGAACUUGGAGAUAGCUGGUUCUCUCCGAAAUAGCUUUAGGGCUAGCCUCGAGGUAAAGAGUCAUGGAGGUAGAGCACUGUUUGGACUAGGGGCCCUUCUCGGGUUACCGAAUUCAGAUAAACUCCGAAUGCCAUGUACUUAUACUCGGGAGUCAGACUGCGAGUGAUAAGAUCCGUAGUCGAAAGGGAAACAGCCCAGACCACCAGUUAAGGUCCCCAAAUAUAUGUUAAGUGGAAAAGGAUGUGGGGUUGCUUAGACAACCAGGAUGUUGGCUUAGAAGCAGCCACCAUUGAAAGAGUGCGUAAUAGCUCACUGGUCGAGUGACCCCGCGCCGAAAAUGUACCGGGGCUAAACAUAUUACCGAAACUGUGGAUGAACCUCUUCGGAGGUUCGUGGUAGGAGAGCGUUCUAAGGGCGGUGAAGUCAGACCGGAAGGACUGGUGGAGCGCUUAGAAGUGAGAAUGCCGGUAUGAGUAGCGAAAGAAGGGUGAGAAUCCCUUCCACCGAAUAUCUAAGGUUUCCUGAGGAAGGCUCGUCCGCUCAGGGUUAGUCGGGACCUAAGCCGAGGCCGAUAGGCGUAGGCGAUGGACAACAGGUAGAGAUUCCUGUACCAGUGCUAAUUGUUUAACCGAUGGGGUGACACAGAAGGAUAGGGAAUCGCACGAAUGGAAAUGUGCGUCCAAGCAGUGAGUGUGAGAAGUAGGCAAAUCCGCUUCUCGCGAAGCAUGAGCUGUGAUGGGGAAGGAAAUUAAGUACGGAAGUUCCUGAUUUCACGCUGUCAAGAAAAGCCUCUAGGA